rnacentral:rRNA from 1 species
CCUACGGGCGACAGCAGUGGGGAAUAUUGCGCAAUGGGCGAAAGCCUGACGCAGCGACGCCGCGUGAGGGAUGAAGGUCUUCGGAUCGUAAACCUCUGUCAGCAGGGAAGAACGGUCACUGUGCUAAUCAGCAGUGAAUUGACGGUACCUGCAAAGGAAGCACCGGCUAACUCCGUGCCAGCACCCGCGGUAAUACGGAGGGUGCGAGCGUUAAUCGGAAUUACUGGGGGUAAAGCGCUCGUAGGCGGUAUGUCAAGUCAAGGGGGAAAUCCCCGCGCUCAACGUGGGAACUGCCUUUGAAACUGGCAAACUGGAGUGUGUGAGAGGAUAGUGGAAUGCCAGGUGUAGGAGUGAAAUCCGUAGAUAUCUGGAGGAACAUCAGUGGCGAAGGCGACUAUCUGGCACAUAACUGACGCUGAGGAGCGAAAGCGUGGGUAGCAAACAGGAUUAGAUACCCUUGUAGUC